ensembl:lncRNA
GGAUCAGUAUAUUUUGUUCAGAAAGAUCAAAAGAGUUUGUUUGUGCGACGAGGACAUGACCAUCCUCAAGUUAAGUCGGAUCUUUCAGGUCUCAAGUGACAGUCUGUAUCUAACAGACGACUCCAAUGUGGCUAUAUUUGCUGGAGAGUCGUCGGGCGUUUUCAGCUCACUAGACCUGAGUCCAAGGGGGCAUUGUGAAGUACACGGCGAGGACGAUGUCGCCCCAGGGUCAAGCACAACGGGGCAACGCUUUGCCUUCUCAAGACGUUCCAGUACAGUUACCAGUGGUUCACUGCAGGGUGCCUCAGCUGCUCUCCCCAGAGCCACUUCCAAAAUAUUUCAAAGACUGCUCUCACGUCCCUCCCAUAAACAGGUCAGUGUACCUUGCUGAGGUGGUUGGUGGGAAGCUGAAUCCUAGCAGAAUGGUGAUGGUGAGGUUUGCAGAGUGCGAGGCUUCUCUUCCGGGGAUUGCCACCAAAGUACAGGAUGCCAUUGGAAGUCAUGAGCCUUUAAUACUGACUGAUGCACAGGGCAACGCCAUUGUGGAGUCAGAGGGAACAACAGG